UAGCCCAACCAAACCACCAAAACUACCCUAAUUUUAAACCAAAACAUUUGCCAAGACCAGUAAAUGCGAUUAAACCUCAAACACCCUGACGCCAUAGCACAACAGUACCGCAGGGGAAAAAUGAAAUAACAUUUCACCAUUUCGCAAAAAAAAGCAGACAUAAGACCCCGUACCUUUUGCAUCAUGGACUAGCCAGUCAACCCAAAACAAAAAGCCAUUAUAGCCUUUCCCCCCGAAAUUAAGUGAGCUACUCCCAGGUAACAUUACGAGUGAACCCGUCUCUGUAGCAAAAGAGUGGGAUAACCAGGAAGUAGAGGCGAAAAACCUAACGAACUUAAUGAUAGCUGGUUACCUGCCACAAACGAAUCUUAGUUCGACUUCAAGCUACAACACAAAUACUAGUACAACAUUAUGCUUGAAAGAUAUUCAGCGGGGGUACAGCCCCGCUGAACUAUUAUACAAACUAUCAAAGGAGAACAAAUAUAAUCUAUACCAGUAGGCCCUAAAGCAGCCAUCAAAAACUAAAGCGUCACAGCAAUCAACCUAAAAAUACCACAACAUCUCAUAACCCUCACCCCCACCAGGUCAUUCUAUAAAAUAGAAGAACCCAUGCUAAUAUUAGUAACAAGAAAAAUUCUCUAAGCACACCCAUAAAUCAGCAAUAGAACCCCUACUGAUAAUUAACCAAGCCACAAUUAAGGUACAACUAUUACAUAUCAAGGCUAAAGUUAAACCACUUGUUAACCCAACACAGGAGUGCAAUAAAGAAAGAUUAAAAGUCAAAGAAGGAACUCGGCAACCAAACGACCUCAACUGUUUACCAAAAACAUAGCCUUUAGCAUACAAUAUUAAAGGUCCUGCCUGCCCAGUGACACCAGUUUAACGGCCGCGGUAUACUAACCGUGCAAAGGUAGCGUAAUCACUUGUCCCCUAAAUAGGGACUCGUAUGAACGGCGAAAUGAAGGCCAACCUGUCUCCUAUGACCAAUCAGUGAAAUUGAACUACCAGUACAAAAGCUGGUAUAAACCCAUAAGACGAGAAGACCCUGUGGAGCUUUAAAUAAGUAUCAAUCCACCACCCAUGAACCACCAUUUUUAGUUGGGGCGACUACGGAAAUAAACAAAACUUCCAAGCCAAUAAACCACCAAGACUCACAUGUCUAACUACCGAUCCAGUACCACUGAAUAACGAACCAAGUUACCCCAGGGAUAACAGCGCUAUCUUCUUUCAGAGUCCCCAUCGCCAAGAAGGUUUACGACCUCGAUGUUGGAUCAGGACACCCAAAUGGCGCAGCCACUAUUAAAGGUUCGUUUGUUCAACGAUUAAUGUCCUACGUGAUCUGAGUUCAGACCGGAGAAAUCCAGGUCGGUUUCUAUCUAUGUUAAAUUUUCUUCAGUACGAAAGGACCAAGAAAAUAGGAUCUAUCUAACCUAGACAUCCUUCACACAAUAGCUG
rnacentral:rRNA from 1 species